GCCUGGAUGAUGGAAUUGGUAGACAUGCUAGACUCAAAAUCUGGUGUUCGUAAGGACGUGAGGGUUCGAGUCCCUCUCCAGGUA
rnacentral:tRNA from 1 species